rnacentral:rRNA from 1 species
GCUUGCUAUAAUUGUCAGCUAAGUGGCGCACGGGUGAGUAAUAUAUAGGUAACGUGCCCUAGAGAAGAGGAUAACAGUUGGAAACGAUUGCUAAGACUCUAUAUGCCUUUAUCCCAUAAGGGAGCAAGGGAAAUAUUUAUAGCUCUAGGAUCGGCCUGUACGGUAUCAGUUAGUUGGUGAGGUAAUGGCUCACCAAGACAAUGACGCCUAACUGGUUUGAGAGGAUGAUCAGUCACACUGGAACUGAGACACGGUCCAGACUCCUACGGGAGGCAGCAGUGGGGAAUAUUGCACAAUGGACGAAAGUCUGAUGCAGCAACGCCGCGUGGAGGAUGACACAUUUCGGUGCGUAAACUCCUUUUAUAUGGGAAGAUAAUGACGGUACCAUAUGAAUAAGCACCGGCUAACUCCGUGCCAGCAGCCGCGGUAAUACGGAGGGUGCAAGCGUUACUCGGAAUCACUGGGCGUAAAGAGCGUGUAGGCGGGUAGUUAAGUCAGAAGUGAAAUCCAAUAGCUCAACUAUUGAACUGCUUUUGAAACUGAUUACCUAGAAUAUGGGAGAGGUAGAUGGAAUUUCUGGUGUAGGGGUAAAAUCCGUAGAGAUCAGAAGGAAUACCGAUUGCGAAGGCGAUCUACUGGAACAUUAUUGACGCUGAGACGCGAAAGCGUGGGGAGCAAACAGGAUUAGAUACCCUGGUAGUCCACGCCCUAAACGAUGUACACUAGUUGUUGUGAGGCUCGACCUUGCAGUAAUGCAGUUAACACAUUAAGUGUACCGCCUGGGGAGUACGGUCGCAAGAUUAAAACUCAAAGGAAUAGACGGGGACCCGCACAAGCGGUGGAGCAUGUGGUUUAAUUCGACGAUACACGAAGAACCUUACCUGGACUUGACAUAGUAAGAACUUUCUAGAGAUAGA